rnacentral:rRNA from 1 species
AUUGAACGCUGGCGGCAGGCCUAACACAUGCAAGUCGAACGCGUGGCGGACGGGUGAGUAAUGUCUGGGACACUGCCUGAUGGCGGGGGAUAACUACUGGAAACGGUAGCUAAUACCGCAUACCCUCGGAUGUGCCCAGUUGGGAUUAGCUAGGAGUUGGGGUAAAGGCUCACCUAGGCGACGAUCCCUAACUGGUCUGAGAGGAUGACCAGCCACCACGGAUAUGAGAACCUGUCCAGACGCCUAAGGGAGGCAGCAGUGGGGAAUAUGGCACAAUGGGCGCAAGCAUGAUGCAGCCAUGCCGCGUGUAUGAAGAAGGUCUUCGGGUUGUAAAGUACUUGUAGCGGGGAGGCGUUACCCGCAGAAGAAGCACCGGCUAACUCCGUGCCAGCCGCCGCGGUAAUAC